GACGAACGCUGGCGGCGUGCCUAAUACAUGCAAGUCGAACGAACUCUGGUAUUGAUUGGUGCUUGCAUCAUGAUUUACAUUUGAGUGAGUGGCGAACUGGUGAGUAACACGUGGGAAACCUGCCCAGAAGCGGGGGAUAACACCUGGAAACAGAUGCUAAUACCGCAUAACAACUUGGACCGCAUGGUCCGAGCUUGAAAGAUGGCUUCGGCUAUCACUUUUGGAUGGUCCCGCGGCGUAUUAGCUAGAUGGUGGGGUAACGGCUCACCAUGGCAAUGAUACGUAGCCGACCUGAGAGGGUAAUCGGCCACAUUGGGACUGAGACACGGCCCAAACUCCUACGGGAGGCAGCAGUAGGGAAUCUUCCACAAUGGACGAAAGUCUGAUGGAGCAACGCCGCGUGAGUGAAGAAGGGUUUCGGCUCGUAAAACUCUGUUGUUAAAGAAGAACAUAUCUGAGAGUAACUGUUCAGGUAUUGACGGUAUUUAACCAGAAAGCCACGGCUAACUACGUGCCAGCAGCCGCGGUAAUACGUAGGUGGCAAGCGUUGUCCGGAUCUAUUGGGCGUAAAGCGAGCGCAGGCGGUUUUUUAAGUCUGAUGUGAAAGCCUUCGGCUCAACCGAAGAAGUGCAUCGGAAACUGGGAAACUUGAGUGCAGAAGAGGACAGUGGAACUCCAUGUGUAGCGGUGAAAUGCGUAGAUAUAUGGAAGAACACCAGUGGCGAAGGCGGCUGUCUGGUCUGUAACUGACGCUGAGGCUCGAAAGUAUGGGUAGCAAACAGGAUUAGAUACCCUGGUAGUCCAUACCGUAAACGAUGAAUGCUAAGUGUUGGAGGGUUUCCGCCCUUCAGUGCUGCAGCUAACGCAUUAAGCAUUCCGCCUGGGGAGUACGGCCGCAAGGCUGAAACUCAAAGGAAUUGACGGGGGCCCGCACAAGCGGUGGAGCAUGUGGUUUAAUUCGAAGCUACGCGAAGAACCUUACCAGGUCUUGACAUACUAUGCAAAUCUAAGAGAUUAGACGUUCCCUUCGGGGACAUGGAUACAGGUGGUGCAUGGUUGUCGUCAGCUCGUGUCGUGAGAUGUUGGGUUAAGUCCCGCAACGAGCGCAACCCUUAUUAUCAGUUGCCAGCAUUAAGUUGGGCACUCUGGUGAGACUGCCGGUGACAAACCGGAGGAAGGUGGGGAUGACGUCAAAUCAUCAUGCCCCUUAUGACCUGGGCUACACACGUGCUACAAUGGAUGGUACAACGAGUUGCGAACUCGCGAGAGUAAGCUAAUCUCUUAAAGCCAUUCUCAGUUCGGAUUGUAGGCUGCAACUCGCCUACAUGAAGUCGGAAUCGCUAGUAAUCGCGGAUCAGCAUGCCGCGGUGAAUACGUUCCCGGGCCUUGUACACACCGCCCGUCACACCAUGAGAGUUUGUAACACCCAAAGUCGGUGGGGUAACCUUUUAGGAACCAGCCGCCUAAGGUGGGACAGAUGAUUAGGGUG
rnacentral:rRNA from 2 species